rnacentral:rRNA from 1 species
CCUACGGGCGGCAGCAGUGGGGGAUAUUGCACAAUGGGGGGAACCCUGAUGCAGCGACGCCGCGUGGGUGAAGAAGCGCCUCGGCGCGUAAAGCCCUGUCAGCAGGGAAGAAAAUGACGGUACCUGAAGAAGAAGCCCCGGCUAACUACGUGCCAGAAGCCGCGGUAAUACGUAGGGGGCAAGCGUUAGCCGGAUUUACUGGGUGGAAAGGGGGCGCAGACGGCGAUGCAAGCCAGGAGUGAAACCCCGGGGCCCAACCCCGGGACUGCUCUUGGAACUGCGUGGCUGGAGUGCAGGAGGGGCAGGCGGAAUUCCUGGUGUAGCGGUGAAAUGCGUAGAUAUCAGGAGGAACACCGGUGGCGAAGGCGGCCUGCUGGACUGCAACUGACGUUGAGGCCCGAAAGCGUGGGGAGCAAACAGGAUUAGAUACCCUGGUAGUC